UUUUUUUAAUUUUUUUUCUUUCUUUUUUUUGUGAGAAUUAGGACGGGAGCAAACUUGGCCAAAAUCGGAUAAGGGUGGCAAUCAAACCCAAUAGCAAACAGCCAACAAUUCCCACAACAUCUCUUUUUUUUUUAAUCGAUUAGUAGUCUUGCAUCUCAAAAAGCUAGACGGAUUAUUUUUAAAUAAAAUUUUAAAAUAUUUUAUACUUAUUAAAAUUUAUUAUUAUACUUAUUAUUAUUAUAAAAAAAAAGGUCUCUCUCAAUUCGCCUUGGGCCCUAUGUAUUGAGCCGCCCUGCAUGUUGCACGGCCGUCUGCAAACAGUGGUCCAAGAAGUUUCGCGCAAUGUGCCCUGGGAGACAGGUUACCAUGUCUUGCUCAGCGUCGGAACAAAAAAAAGUGCAACGCCUUCCACACGCUUGUGUCGGGUGCUGCAACUUUCCAGUCAAUACAGCUCAACCUGAUGUUGAUACUCGGCGAGUCGGCAACAAGUCUUGAAAACCAGCUUGGAUCUCUUAAGGGCUGAUAUCAGCUCUCACACAUUAUUCCACAGCAAGUCUAAAAACUUUUCUAGCACUCAACGCAAAAGCGGAAACAGUUGUGCAGCACAGCUUUCUCCAACCAACUUGAGACUAAAAUAUCUUGUUAUUCUUCUUAGAGCUUGUUUAGUUGGAGUAAUCUAGUAUGAAAAAAUAAAUUAUAUAUUAAAUUAUUAUAUUUGGUACGAACAGUCAUGGAGAGAGAUGGUAAAUGAGUUUGAUCUCUAUCUUUCUGAAUUAUGAUAAUCUGAAAAUAUCAUUUUUGACGAAAAUACAGACGUAUUACCGUAUCCUCAAGGGUUGGGACCACUUUUUACGGGUCAGUGGAAUCUUUAUGCUCAAAACCCUGAUUCAAGUAGUCAUUUAUUUGGUACUUCCCAAGGAACCGGAGCUAUCAUUCUACUGCUUUUUUACUUAUCAUCUACGUAAAAACAGUCAGUCAAAAUGAUUAAUUUAAC
rnacentral:lncRNA from 1 species